ensembl:misc_RNA 7SK 7SK RNA
GUAUGUGACAGUGAUCUGGAGGGGACAUCUGCCACCUCAUUGACUGUCAGGAUUGACCUGGUUGAUCUGUCUGGCUAGGUGGGUGUCCCCUCCUUCUUCACAGCUCCAUAUGUGUCCCUCCCGAGGCUGCACGGUUGGUCCAGGAGGACAAACUUCUCCAGCAGAUUUCCCUCCAUAGAAGACCAUGCUUGGGCCAAGGGCACACAAGGAGAUACACUCUCCGUCAAACCUUCAAACAAGCUUUCGAGGUUCACAAGGGAACGAGGCAGGGCUGAAGGGAGAGCUGG